rnacentral:lncRNA from 1 species
AAAGUGUUUUAUUAGUCAAAAUCUGUUUUGAUUUGUGUUUUUAAAUGUCUUGAGUCAAAUUAGAACCUAAUUUCGUCCAAAACCAUCCCUAGAGUCAGUUUAGAGUCUAAUUCAUUAUUUUAAGUUGUUUUGCGUCUUUUAAACUAGUUUUGAGUCUUUUUAGUUUGUAUUGCAUCUUUUGAGUCUAGUUUGGUGUUUUAAACUUAAUUUUAUGUUUUUAAGUCAGUUUCAGGUGUUUUAGCAAUCCCUCAUAAUCCCCGGCCUAGAACGAUCCCUACUUACAUUCUUUACUACAAUUGACAACAAGAGGGUUUAAUUUGUGUGUUAAGUUAAUUUUCGCACCACCUCCCCUAAUUGUGUGGGUGAGGGGUCCUUUUAUAGAAUAAGGACUCCUCACUUAUUACAUAUUUGCCCCUUCUUUUAUCACAUAAUUACAUUUAAGUCCCUCGAGUAUUUGUACAAGAUCUAAAUACAAGGCCCUAAAUAUAGUAUAAACAAAAUUAAAUUUAGAAAAUUUAGAAAAUGAGGUAAUAUAUUUUUAUAUAGUAUAGUACUAUUGUUUUAUUUAUUUUCAUAAUUAUUUUGGUAAACUUCUCAUAAUUUGAAUGGUUUAUAAUAUUUGAUUUUUCUAUUCUUAGUUUAUGCGGAAGAGAGUUAUGGGGUGAAAAACCUUACUGAAAAUAUCAUCAAUAUAACUCUUGAAGACAAUAGAUCAAGCCAAAGUUCCAAUACAAUUUUCCCAUGAUGAUUGAUGAAAAUUGAAGGAUUUUAUAAAACGACUAACAUGCAAGCUUUGAAUUUCAUUGACAAGGUUUUAACUUCUGAGAAAGGCUUCACAACCUUAAAAAGAAAAACUCAUUCAUUUGCAUAUACUUGCAUAUUUGAUAUUUUGUAGUAGACUAGUAGUGUAUUGGUGCUCUUUUAUUAGGCUCUUAUCUUGGAGUGUAGAUGUAGUACUUAACGACAAAUGUGUUUUUAUGUUUUGAAGUAAUAUUUAUGUAGCAAUAUGGUAUGUGCAAAUUUAAGAAUUUUUUUUUUUAACGGGUCAUAAAGGGCCGGGUCAUUUUACCUGUUGGUAAAGCUACCCGACCUGUUAAGGAUCCGUUAAGAUAACGGGUAUGAUACGAUACAAUCUGUUAAGAAAACAGGUAUUACACGAAAACAACAAGAAACAAGACAAGUGUACUUUGCAACCAACUGCUUGACGCAUGUGUACUUUGCUUUAAAUGUGUCACGAUCAAAUUAUGUAAUAUGAACAUCAUAUGUAUAAAGAUGUAAAAUGGAUUUUGGAAUUAAUGUAUGCAUAGUAUACCUGGAAGGUUCAAAGGAAAAAGGAUCUAUUUCUUUGAUUAUGUUGCAUAAUUUUAAGUUGAUACAGCUUCAUGUUCGUGUUGAGCUGACUAUAUUCCAAAUGCAGAUUCAGUUCGGCCUUUGUUUUCAGUUUUUUAUCAUAGUUUGUACUACUUUCCAAUCGUAAUAGUUUGACUGCUAUCGUGCUCACUACAACCAUAUGAUCUUCACUUUUUUCAAACUAAAUUCAAAAUCAUCACAACCACAAUCACAAUAAUAUACGGAACAAUUUCUUGUUUUACAAUUUUGCAAGUUAUUUAAGUUGUUUGAUUAAUUAUCAAUUGUUGAACAUAAUAUUUAGAUAUGAGUCAAGUAAAUUUAUAAUUCAUAUUCACAGUUUAACAAUAUAUAGCAUGUCAAUUUAUCUGAUAAAAAAAAUUAUUCAAAAUGUACGUAUCUACAUAUAAUAUAUAUUUUACAAGAAUUGUUACCACAUAAUAAGGGAGGUUCUACCUACAUUGGAAAUUAUUUGCCACUGGCUGGGGCAGUGGCUAAUGAUUUGCCAACACUAAAAAGGGUUGAAACAUAAGUUUAUAUAUUCAUUACUAGC